rnacentral:misc_RNA from 1 species
GAUGAAGAACGUAGCGAAAUGCGAUAAGUAAUGUGAAUUGCAGAAUUCAGUGAAUCAUCGAAUCUUUGAACGCACAUUGCGCCCGCCAGCAUUCUGGCGGGCAUGCCUGUUCGAGCGUCAUUUCAACCCUCAAGCUCUGCUUGGUGUUGGGGCCCUACGGUUGACGUAGGCCCUUAAAGGUAGUGGCGGACCCUCUCGGAGCCUCCUUUGCGUAGUAACUAACGUCUCGCAUUGGGAUUCGGAGGACUCUUGCCGUAAAACCCCCAAAUUUUCUAAUGGUUGACCUCGGAUCAGGUAGGAAUACCCGCUGAACUUAAGCAUAUCAAUAAGCGGAGGA